UCCGUAGGCGGGUAAUUAAGUCAGUAGUGAAAUCCUGCAGCUUAACUGUAGAACUGUUAUUGAUACUGGUUUUCUUGAAUAUAGUUGAGGUAGGCGGAAUGUGUAAUGUAGCGGUGAAAUGCUUAGAUAUUACACAGAACACCGAUUGCGAAGGCAGCUUACUAAGCUAUGAUUGACGCUGAGGUACGAAAGCGUGGGGAGCGAACAGGAUUAGAUACCCUGGUAGUC
rnacentral:rRNA from 1 species